UGUUAAGUGGAAAAGGAUGUGGCGUUGCCCAGACAACUAGGAUGUUGGCUUAGAAGCAGCCAUCAUUUAAAGAGUGCGUAAUAGCUCACUAGUCGAGUGACACUGCGCCGAAAAUGUACCGGGGCUAAACAUAUUACCGAAGCUGUGGAUUGUCCUUUGGACAAUGGUAGGAGAGCGUUCUAAGGGCGUUGAAGCAUGAUCGUAAGGACAUGUGGAGCGCUUAGAAGUGAGAAUGCCGGUGUGAGUAGCGAAAGACGGGUGAGAAUCCCGUCCACCGAUUGACUAAGGUUUCCAGAGGAAGGCUCGUCCGCUCUGGGUUAGUCGGGUCCUAAGCUGAGGCCGACAGGCGUAGGCGAUGGAUAACAGGUUGAUAUUCCUGUACCACCUAUAAUCGUUUUA
rnacentral:rRNA from 1 species